GCCUCUGAAUCCCAAUCAUCUGAAAACCGUGUCCUCAGCCUUUGAUACCUUCAGCUGUUUUAUGAAAGUCCUCCAAGUGGAUGAAAGUAUCAACAACCGGAACAAGAGUUUUUCAUUGCCCUAUUUGAGAAGAGCUGCGUGAACGACUUUUAUAUUCAGGAUAGAGAUACAUUCAUCAAUCCAACCACCAGGAGCCUCACUGGACUCCAUCUGAGAUGACAGCAACCCCUCAAAUUCAGAAGCACUUCUCUAACUGACAACAUCUCGCAUGAAAUGAAGUUUGUAAAAUUGCAACUUCAGCCUCCAUCAGAGGACCUCAGCUGCCCCAGCGAACAGGGCCUUCUGUACAGGGAAUGUGCUCCUCCUCGAAGCAUAGACAAGAAGCAGCCCUUAGAUCUCAUCAGGAAAUUCUACGGAGAGAAGGUCGGAAUCUACUUUGCUUGGGCUGGGCUAUUACAUUCAGAUGCUCCUCCUGGCAGCAGUCGUGGGGGUGACUUGCUUUCUUGUGACCCAGGUGGCUGUCUCCUUGAACUGAUGAUGCAGCUGACAAUAAUCAUGGGAGGACAGUCCAUCUGGAAUAACAUACAAGAGGUGUUACUUCCCUGGGUCAUGAAUCUAAUGAUGCCACAGUUUCGGGAGCAGAACAGACCACCCCACGAUGGGAAUGGGACAACCAUCUGUAUCCAACGGGCAAACUGGGGUUAUUUUAUGAAUACCCUGAAAUGAGAGUAAAAGAAUUUAUGUUGUCCUUCCAUCCAUCCACCACUCCAUGUUUUGUGUCCAUUCCUUCAACAGGUAUUCAGUUUGGGUUCACCACAGUAUAUGUGGCCUCUUUCCAGUGGCCCCUCUGUUGGCUCUGGAGAACAAUAUAUUGGAAAUCAGAGUGGGUACGUGGAACCUUGACUACCCAGUAUAGACGCAUUGUGCCAGAAAAAGCCCAGAACAUCGCAGCAUGGCAGCCCACCAUGCAAGGAACAGCAAUUCUGGCUUUGGUGGACCAAUGUGAAUAAAAAGGCUUCAUUGGGUGAAGACUUAGAAAAGUCCAAAAAUGCAUUGGCGUUGUUUCCUAAGGAAUCUAGUGUUGGGUACUGUUUAA